CAGCGGCUGCUGCAGCAGUAGCAUUAGGAAUAGCAGUGUUGCAGCAGGCUCGGCGGCGGUUCACACCAUGUCGCAGGAUGGGCGCCUCUGCGGUUUGACGGGGCUUCUGCUGCUACUCCUGCUCUGCCGACAGCCUGCCAGCGUCGCCUGUCGCCUCAAAUGUCCGGCAGGCGACUUGUGCCCUGCCCACUACGUAUGCUGCUACGAUCAACUCUGCUGUCCGCUGUCAGAGAGGGUGGCAGAAAUAGCCGGUGCGGUGAGUGGAGUCAUCCUUAUGUUCGGAGGCGUUACUUUCUGCUGCAUCAAGUGUUGCAGGACCAGAAGACGAG